AAAACCUUUAAAAAAAAAAAAAAUCUGUUCUUAUCAGUUUAAUAUCUGAUACGUCCCCUAUCCGGGGACUGCAUAUUAAAUGGAUUUUUGGAUCAUGGAGCUGGAGCGAGGCUUGCUCCGUCCACUCCACGCAUCCGUCUGGUAUUGCAGUAUCUCCAGAAACGGUGUGCUUCCC
rnacentral:snRNA from 1 species